GGAGAGAUGGAUGAGUGGUUUAAAUCAACGGUUUACUAAACCGUCGCUCCUUAAUUGGGGCCGCGAGUUCGAAUCUCGCUCUCUCCG
rnacentral:tRNA from 1 species